rnacentral:siRNA from 1 species
AGAGGCCCACAAGCUAAGGCGCCC